rnacentral:rRNA from 1 species
GACGAACGCUGGCGGCGUGCUUAACACAUGCAAGUCGAACGGGCCUGUCUUCUUUUUUGGGGGUGGGUUGAGUGGCGAACGGGUGAGUAUCACGUGAGUAACCUGCCCUUCGGUCCUGGAUAACCGCUUGAAAGGGCGGCUAAUACGGGGUGGUCCGGUUGGUCCGCAUGGGCUGGUCGGGAUAGAUUCACUGUUUUUGGUGUUUCGGCGGGGGAUGGGCUCGCGGCCUAUCAGCUUGUUGGUGGGGUGAUGGCCUACCAAGGCGGUGACGGGUAGCCGGCCGGAGAGGGUGGGCGGCCACACUGGGACUGAGAUACGGCCCAGACUCCUGCGGGAGGCAGCAGUGGGGGGUAUUGCACAAUGGGCGGAAGCCUGAUGCAGCGACGUCGCGUGAGGGAUGGAGGCCUUCGGGUUGUGAACCUCUGUUUCCGGUGGUGAAGGCCCUGUCCGUGUGGUGGGGUUGACGGUAGCCGGGGAUGAAGCGCCGGCUAACUACGUG